rnacentral:rRNA from 1 species
AGAUUAAGUUAUUAAGGGCGCACGGUGGAUGCCUUGGCACUAGAAGCCGAUGAAGGACGUUACUAACGACGAUAUGCUUUGGGGAGCUGUAAGUAAGCUUUGAUCCAGAGAUUUCCGAAUGGGGAAACCCAGCACGAGUUAUGUCGUGUUAUCUGCAUGUGAAUACAUAGCAUGCAAGAAGGCAGACCCGGAGAACUGAAACAUCUUAGUACCCGGAGGAAGAGAA